rnacentral:misc_RNA from 1 species
GGAGGUUGAAAGAAGUGCUAGCACACUCAUGACUUUUGGUACGUGUUUUUAUAUUCUUCCGCCAGUUAAAACCUAGUCAUUUCACUUUCAUUUAGUUUAACAGAGCAAGAAAGAUGGUGAAAUCGAAAGAACUUAUCAGCUGUCAGAUAUGAAGUGAAUCAAAUUUAAGAUGAAGACAGCCAGCUAGAUAACAAUCAGAGCAAGUUCUACCUUCUAGUGACCUUUUUUGUUCAGGAUACCAAAAUGGAAAAAAUAAUUAGACAGUUUAAACUUUAGUGUGUCAGAUAGAUUUCUUUUAUUUAAUUUUGUUGUUAAGAACAUGAGUUUUAACUAUUGGACCUUAGGUUGGUGGUUCAAGUCCGGCCGGUUGGACCAAUUGAUAUGGUUAGGAACAAGAGAAUUUGUAAUCAAAUUGAAACUGAGCUUUGUAUUGAAAUGGAAUAGCAGAAUACUCUUUUUACCAUGUGGGUUGUGGAUUACAACUACUUCUCUCACUUACCUCUUUGAUCUGUUACAAUUUCUAGAAUGAAAAGAAAAUCACAGGAAACAAGCACUCAAAAUGGCUACCAAGAGCCCCUAGGGAUAAUUCCCCAUGCAGAUAGAAUCUGCCCUUCUAUUAAAGAUAAAACCAGCUAACAAAAACAUGCCCUGCUUCCCAUUCUCUUCCUAUAUUUAUAUUUCCUCUUUCUCCUUUCCAGCUGUCCUUCACAGGCUCCUUAGCAUCCCAAUUCUUUCCAGCUGUCCUUUCUGUUAUAAUUUCUUCUAGAUUACUUCAUAUCCAUAAAAUAUUAAGUCCUUGUUAUCUAUUCAAAUCCACCUGCUCAUAAAAGCUGAACAGUCCAAUUGAUUAAACAAUUUAGUCAAAUUGUUUGUUGAUCAUAGAUGGAAUCUAUUUGUGAGAAAUUCUUAGCUUGCCGGAUCUUUCAGUGAUUAUUGAUUAGUUUCCAACAUAAUUUUGUUAUACUUUACGUGACUUCAAGAGAAUGAUCCAAAAUAUUCCCCAUAAAUAUGUUUUUGCAAAAAAAUUUUGUGGAUGCAUGUUAAAUGAUAUUAACCAUACGGAUCUGAUUUGAUUUGAACUAGCAUGUUAAACCUAUUAAACUUUUAAAUUUUUUUUGUCAGUUGUCUUCUGACUGCAUCCUCUAUCUUUAUGGUCUGAUAUGCUUACUUUUCUUACUUCCACAGAUUCAAAAAAAAUUAAUAAGUUUCAAAAAAAUUUUCAGCUUAAUGUUUCUUUUUUUAAAUGUUGACAUUUGUUGGUGCUUCACAAACUAUAAUCACAGUUAAUUCCUUGCUUCCUCAUUGAUUUCUAUGCUUGAGAUUCAAAUGACUGUUACGUUGUGUUUGCUGUCUAAGAAUGGUUCAUACUCCAGAGAAACUCUUAUUUUAUGGUGGUUUUGCUGGGGAAUCAAUGGGGGUAUUAAGGAAGGCUGAAAG